GUCUAUGGUCAUGCUACCCUGAACAAGCCGGAUCCCAUCUGAUCUUGGAAGCUAAGCAGGAUUGGGCCAGGUUAGUACUUGGAUGGGAGACCACCUAGGAAGACCAAGUGCUGUAGGCG
rnacentral:rRNA from 1 species